rnacentral:rRNA from 1 species
UACGUAGGGGGCAAGCGUUAUCCGGAUUUACUGGGUGUAAAGGGAGCGUAGACGGCAGCGCAAGUCUGGAGUGAAAUGCCGGGGCCCAACCCCGGAACUGCUCUGGAAACUGUCAAGCUAGAGUGUCGGAGGGGUAAGCGGAAUUCCUGGUGUAGCGGUGAAAUGCGCAGAUAUCAGGAGGAACACCGGUGGCGAAGGCGGCUUACUGGACGGCAACUGACGUUGAGGCUCGAAAGCGUGGGGAGCAAACAGG